rnacentral:rRNA from 1 species
ACGCUGGCGGCAGGCCUAACACAUGCAAGUCGAGCGGUAGAGAGAAGCUUGCUUCUCUUGAGAGCGGCGGACGGGUGAGUAAUGCCUAGGAAUCUGCCUGGUAGUGGGGGAUAACGUUCGGAAACGGACGCUAAUACCGCAUACGUCCUACGGGAGAAAGCAGGGGACCUUCGGGCCUUGCGCUAUCAGAUGAGCCUAGGUCGGAUUAGCUAGUUGGUGGGGUAAUGGCUCACCAAGGCGACGAUCCGUAACUGGUCUGAGAGGAUGAUCAGUCACACUGGAACUGAGACACGGUCCAGACUCCUACGGGAGGCAGCAGUGGGGAAUAUUGGACAAUGGGCGAAAGCCUGAUCCAGCCAUGCCGCGUGUGUGAAGAAGGUCUUCGGAUUGUAAAGCACUUUAAGUUGGGAGGAAGGGUUGUAGAUUAAUACUCUGCAAUUUUGACGUUACCGACAGAAUAAGCACCGGCUAACUCUGUGCCAGCAGCCGCGGUAAUACAGAGGGUGCAAGCGUUAAUCGGAAUUACUGGGCGUAAAGCGCGCGUAGGUGGUUUGUUAAGUUGGAUGAGAAAUCCCCGGGCUCAACCUGGGAACUGCAUUCAAAACUGACUGACUAGAGUAUGGUAGAGGGUGGUGGAAUUUCCUGUGUAGCGGUGAAAUGCGUAGAUAUAGGAAGGAACACCAGUGGCGAAGGCGACCACCUGGACUAAUACUGACACUGAGGUGCGAAAGCGUGGGGAGCAAAC